CAGUCGCCACGGUAAUACAGAGGGUGCAAGCGUUAAUCGGAUUUACUGGGCGUAAAGGGCGCGUAGGUGGUUGCGUAAGUGAGAUGUGAAAUCCCCGGGCUUAACCUGGGACGUGCAUCUUAUACUGCGUAACUGGAGUGCAAGAGAGGGUAGUGGAAUUUCCGGUGUAGCGGUGAAAUGCGUAGAUAUCGGAAGGAACACCAGUGGCGAAGGCGGCUACCUGGCUUGACACUGACACUGAGGCGCGAAAGCGUGGGGAGCGAACAGGAUUAGAUACCCCUGUAGUCCCUGUCUCUUAUAC
rnacentral:rRNA from 1 species